UACGGGGGGGGCAAGCGUUGUUCGGAAUUACUGGGCGUAAAGGGCUCGUAGGCGGCCAACUAAGUCGGAUGUGAAAUCCCCAGGCUUAACCUGGGAAUUGCAUCCGAUACUGGAUGGCUUGAAUCCGGGAGAGGGAUGCAGAAUUCCAGGUGUAGCGGUGAAAUGCGUAGAUAUCUGGAGGAAUACCGGUGGCGAAGGCGGCAUCCUGGACCGGCAUUGACGCUGAGGAGCGAAAGCUAGGGGAGCAAACGGG
rnacentral:rRNA from 1 species